AGCUUUGCGCAGUGGCAGUAUUGUAGCCAAUGAGGUUUAUCCGAGGCGCGAUUAUUGCUAAUUAAAAGCGUAUGAAACUUGAGGUAUAUCAGCUAGCCUUAUAUUUCCUUACAGAUUUUUGUAUGGUCUAUUUGGUU
ensembl:snRNA U4 U4 spliceosomal RNA